CCCCCCGAGGGCCUCCCUGAUCCAGCAGCUUUCACGCCAGCAAGGGCUGCUUCUGCUGAUUCCCAGGCAGGCUUUCAUGCAUUUCCCACCCAGAUUUCUAAUUCCACGCCUCGGGGCUCCACACACAAAUGAUUUUCCCUCUUUUCUACGAUGGCGGCUCGGAUACUGGAAGAUGUCUCCGGGCCGCCCUGUGAGUCUCCUUCUGCGCCCCAGCGUGUCUGCGGGCAGGUGACAGCCGUGUGAGGUUCGCCCCUCGGACCUGGCCGGCCCCAACAUCCGGGCACCUUCUGGAGUGUCCUCAUGCCUCAGGAUCUAAGGGUACCCAGAAAGUUGUCACUGGAGGACAUGUGAGUGUCCCCCAUGCAGGAUGUGGCCUCCAGGGAUGAAACACAAGUUUCCUGAGGGAAAGGAGCCCAGAGACCCGGUGGCCUACAGAUGCGGAGGCUCGGGGGUGGACGGGCCCCCCGUGUCCCUCCCAGUGAACCCAGGGCCCCCUGCACUGUUUCUGAAGGCACGCGUCGCUUCUGCGAGGCUGGCAGCAGAUUCGCCCGCCCUGAAUGAUGACUUCUGACUCUCCAUCCGUCACAGAGCAGAGCACGUGGGGAGAUCCGUGUGCGCUCCCCCGGCGGUGAGCGGCGGCCGAGGACCCGAUUCGUCUCCCCUGCUUUUCUCCCGUGUAACGCACGUUCACAAACAACAUACUUGCUUGAGUUAUUUAUGCAAAGCAGCAUUAGUACAUGGUUUUGGCCUCUUGUU